rnacentral:rRNA from 1 species
AAUAGAUACCCCGGUAGUCCAUGCCGUAAACGAUGUCUACUAGCCGUUGGGGCCCUUGAGGCUUUAGUGGCGCAGCUAACGCGAUAAGUAGACCGCCUGGGGAGUACGGUCGCAAGACUAAAACUCAAAUGAAUUGACGGGGGCCCGCACAAGCGGUGGAGCAUGUGGUUUAAUUCGAUGCAACGCGAAGAACCUUACCUGGCCUUGACAUACAGAGAACUUUCCAGAGAUGGAUUGGUGCCUUCGGGAACUCUGAUACAGGUGCUGCAUGGCUGUCGUCAGCUCGUGUCGUGAGAUGUUGGGUUAAGUCCCGCAACGAGCGCAACCCUUUUCCUAUUUGCCAGCACUUCGGGUGGGAACUUUAAGGAUACUGCCAGUGACAAACUGGAGGAAGGCGGGGACGACGUCAAGUCAUCAUGGCCCUUAACGGCCAGGGCUACACACGUGCUACAAUGGUCGGUACAAAGGGUUGCUACUGCGCGAGCAGAUGCUAAUCUCAAAAAGCCGAUCGUAUCCGGAUCGCAGU